CAGGCUCUGGCUAUAGUCCAGAUCUCAGUUGGUCCUGGAUAUAACCAAAGCCCGACUGUA
rnacentral:miRNA from 1 species